GCGGUGGUAGAUGGCUCCCAAGGCUUCGACGGGUAGCCGGCCUGAGAGGGUGACCGGCCACACUGGGACUGAGACACGGCCCAGACUCCUACGGGAGGCAGCAGUGGGGAAUAUUGGACAAUGGGCGAAAGCCUGAUCCAGCAACGCCGCGUGAGGGAUGACGGCCUUCGGGUUGUAAACCUCUUUCAGCGCCGACGAAGCGAGAGUGACGGUAGGCGCAGAAGAAGCACCGGCCAACUACGUGCCAGAGCGCGCGGCCGAUU
rnacentral:rRNA from 1 species